UACGGAGGGGGCGAGCGUUAUUCGGAAUUAUUGGGCGUAAAGGGCGCGUAGGCGGCCCUGUAAGUCAAAGGUGAAAUCCCUCGGCUCAACUGAGGAACUGCCUUUGAAACUGCAGGGCUUGAGGCCGGGAGGGGGUAGCGGAAUUCCCAAUGUAGCGGUGAAAUGCGUAGAUAUUGGGAGGAACACCAGUGGCGAAGGCGGCUACCUGGACCGGUUCUGACGCUGAGGCGCGAAAGCUAGGGGAGCGAACGGG
rnacentral:rRNA from 1 species